UUUAUUUUAGUGUUUAAGCACAUAAAACUUUGAAUUUUAAAGGAUUAAUUAAUUUAAUAAAUAAAU